AUUAGAGAGUUUAGAGACUGAAUAUUUCUGUGUUAUUAUUAAUGAACAAUGGGGGUUCCUUUAUAUAAGGAUUACAAGAUAAAGAGAAAAGGAAAGUGUACAUAUCAUAAUCCAAGAAGAAAUAUGAAAACUACUAAAACAUAAUAAUGGAAAGAUUACAUCUACUAAGAAAAGGAAAAGGGUUUCUUUUUCUCUAAGCUUUAUGGCUGUCUUUCUCUCUCCUGAAGUCGGCUCUCUCUCUCCUCUCUCUAGGCUUCAGCCGUCCCUCUAUCUUCUAGGUAUUGGGCCGGUCUUGGACCGAACCUGGUUAAUGGCAAUCCACUCCAUGAUUUAUAACAGAAGUCAGAUGAACACGGGAUUUAUUGAGAUGAGCAAACUGUCGGCAUGCAAAGAAUCUGUAGUGGAAUUGGUGUUGAAGAUCAGACAGCUGUGCCUUUCCCUGUCUUCACGCCUCUGGUCAGCCUCAUAACACCCAAAAGGGAGGAUGACAUUUUAUUAAUGGAAUGCAACAACAAAAGGAUUAGAAAAACCAAAGAGCACAAGAUAAAGGAAGAUUCUUACUUAUCACGAAUCUGAAAGAGAUUGUAUCUGAGCGCUGACCCAACAUACAUCAAUGUGUGCAAGAAGGUUGCAAAUGGACCAUGAUAAUGUAACGACCCGGAAUUGUCAACCGAAUUGGUUUGUUUUUCUUUUAAUUAAUUUAGAAAAAACCCAAUUCAAUUUCCUUUUUGGUUUAACCAAACCGUGUAUGCAACUAUAUAAAUCAUAUACAUCUCCAUCUCCAUAAAACCUAGCCGCAUACCUUCACGUCUCAAGAUUUAUCACCUCCUUCCCAUCUUUCUCGCUCAUCACAUGUUUCACUUCUUCUCCAUGUGUGCAUAUGUCUAUCAUAGAAGCCGAGACGGGACGCACCCAUCGUUCACCUCCAAAAUCUGAUCCACCGCUUGCACCGCGAUGCCACCACUGGCUCUUCCCGUCGUCUUGGAGCUAUCGCCAUGUCAGACAGAGAGACAGCCUCUCCAUCAGUGGUCAAACGGACGUGUUGUUGCCUCGCAACGAACUCAAGAGAUGUAUAUAUGACGUGAGGAGAUGCACAAAGACGGAGCCACCGACUCCCCACCGCGGCACCGAUCGGAUCCACCGUUGUAAGCUUUGAGCCACAGCCUCUUCAUCGACGACCACCGAUCUGCUUUGCCAUGAACCGUUAGCCACCGGAGAGCUGAGCCGUAUCACCGAAGAUCUAAACGUUCGAACCGUAGCUAUUUCCGAGAAGGAAGAAAUCAAAGACCUUAUGGGUUAUUUUUUUGCCAAGUCAUUCUCUGUGAAGCCUAGACGUUUGACGAGGCAUAUCAGUUCCCGACUAUUAUCCGAUGAAUCUCUAAUAUUGGCUAAGGUGAUGGUCCGUAAAUCCCCUACCAGUGUAGAAUUCUUCCUAUGUUAGUUUAAAUUUCGAAUCAUGAUCCGUCUGUUUGAAUUGAGUCUGUUGAGUCCUGAUUGGUAAUUUGUUCAUUCAUUGUAAACUGUAAUUAGGGAUCUAGAGGAUUCAACCGUUGAUUGGAUUGUGUGAUGUUAAGCGAUGAUAUAUAUAUACGAGUAUACAUAGUUAUGAGUAGGGACUAUGUGCGCGGGCGGGGACUCAGAGAUGUCUGGGCUAGCGACGCCACGUUGAUUGUGCGGACGGGGGUUCAGAGACGUCUGGGCUAGCGACGCUACUGGUGAUGGGUGUGUGGUGUAGAGACUUUUGUACCAUCGACGCUACUUGAGCGGGCGGGGGUACAGAUACAGACUAUACUAGCGACGCUAGGUAUUUAUAUAUUCCUCGAUGCGGAGUGUAUGGACUAGCUAUAUGCUAACAUCGCAUUGUUUGUGUUUGUGUAUGUGUGAUGCUUUAGGCGUCUUGCUUGUUCAUGUUAGAGCUAAACUUCCAUAGUGGGAGUUCUAUUUACUCAAGUUAGUGGUUUGCGUGUUUAGCAUCCCAUACCUCACGUAGUAACUCCCCUGUUAAUCACCCCUCCUUUCUUUCCCCUUUCAGGUGAGACUGACGAGCAUGAGUGAUUGCUAUCAUAUUGGUUCUUCGGGAGUUUUUUGUUUCUUUCUUUUUCAGACUUGCAAUUUUUAUGCCUUUAUCGAUAUUUCAGGAUUAUUAUUUAUUAUUUUAUUUUGGAGGAUACGGGUGUUUCAAUUUGGUAUCAAAGCGGGGUUCCGUCUCGGCUCUGACCCGGGAUGGCGAUUUGUGGGGACUCGAUUUUAAUCGGUUAAGACGAUUUUCAAAACAUUUUUAGGGAUUUGGGAAUUUUUAAAAUAAAAAUGAAUAGCACCUUUCCGUUCAGUAAAUUAUUACUCAAUUGUCUCUUUUAUGCUGAUGAGUAAAACCUUUGCCAUUCGACCUUAGGCUAACAAGGUUUCAGCCCGAUGUUCAACAAAUUGAUGAUGUCAAAGUUUGUUAGAUUGUUCAGGUGUCUAUCAGUUCUUUCAGUCGUGUUCAGAGAUUUUCCGUGAGGGGAUAUGUGACGUUUCCGCCACCACCUAACUCUAAGCUAUCAAUCCACGAGUUUUUGUUACUGGAGCUUAUUUGGUAUGAUGAGUGGUGAGCCAUUGGUUGGCAUGUGUUAUUCUUGUGUAUGAGUCAACUGACUAUUUUGAAGGUGUGUUCAGUUUGUGAACUCAUGGGGAUCGCUUUUGGAUUGGGGGUGCAACAUCUUGCGUUGUGUUUAUAUUUGAGUUAUGCUUGGUUUGGUUUGCCAUAUUUUGGAUGUGUUGAUCGUUUCAGAGUGUGUUUAAGUUAUGAUGAUUCAGACAGCUGCAUAGAUACCCUGGAAGCUAUUUGUAUUCAUCGAGAUGUGCCAGUUCUACUUUGUGUUGACGAGUUCAUUGGGGAUCCAACAGGGUUAGAGUAUAACUAGUAGGAUGUCAUUCUUGAGAUGGAUUGGUUGUCACGGCAUCGAGUAGUGUUGAUUUACCAGACGGCAAGAGUGCACAUUCCUGGAGCAUUGAGAGAUUAUAUCGCCUCCAUGUUGCAUUAUGAGGAGUUAUUGGAGAGAGGAGCAAAGGGAUUUUUUUGGCAACUAUUUCGAUGGUUAAGGAUGAUAGCCAGCAUGAGCUGCAGGAUAUUAGAGAUGUUGCAGAGUAUGAGGAUGUAUUUGAGGCCUUAAAAUGGCCACCACUAGCCAGAGGAUACGCUCAUACGAUUGAGUAGGAACCACAGACAGCAUCAGCUUCACGAGCUCCACACCGUCACCAGCAGAGAUGGCUGAGUUGAAAAAGCAGUUGGAGAAACAAUUAGAUAAAGUUUUCAUCUGACGGAGUAGUUCACCCUGGGGAGCAUGUAUGGAGGACGGGUUUCCAUACACGUUAUAGACAUUAUAAGUUUGUGGUGAUGUCAAUUGGGUUGUCGAAUGCACUGGCAGCAUUCAGAGAACGUAUGAAUGAUGUCUUUAGUGCGCACUUGGACAAGUGCGCGAUUGUCUUCAUCGACGACAUCAUGAUUUAUUCUCGGAGCAGAGAGGAGCAUGUAGAGCAUUUACGGAUUGUGUUAGGUGAUCUUGGAAAGUAUUAGUUUUUGCUAUCUGAGUAAGUGUAGUUUGUCCCAGAGGAAAAACAAAUUGGAUUUUUGGGUCAUGUGGUUUUGGAAGCAGGAGUUGCUGUAGAUUAUGAAUAUAUUACUUCAUUUUUCAGAGAGGUCGACACCUAAGAGGUACAGAGAUUUUGUGUUACAAUCAAUGGCUUAGCGUGAAAAUGGAUGUAGCUACAUUGUGUCGCAGUGUCAGACAUGUCAGAUUGUUAUGGUUGGGUAUCAAGUACCUAGUUGGUUAUUGCAGAACCUGAUUUUGCCAGAGUGAGAAUGGAAUAUGGUGACUAUGGAUUUUGUAACUACACGACCGACCACCUCAGGUGGGAAGAAUGAUAUAUGGAUGAUCAUGGAUAGACUCACCAAGUUAUCUCAUUUCUUAGCGAUUAAGAAGACGGACACAGUUGAUCAGUUGGUUCAGAUUUACAUCAGAAAGAUUGUGAGGUUACCUGGAGUUCUCGUCAACAUUGUAUACAUCAAGAUGCAAAAGUUCUCAUCGGCAUUUUGGAAAGCCUUUCAGAAGGCACUUGGGACAACGAUUCACAUGAUUACAACCUAUCCUACGCAGAUGGGCAGCUAGAGAUGACUAUUCAGACUUUAAAGAUAUCUUCAGGACUUGUGUUUUUGAUUGAGAAGGGAGUUGUUAAAAGUAUCUACCUUUACCAGAGUUUGCCACAACAAUAGUUACCAUUCGAGUAUGAGAUGUCACCAUAUGAGGCACUUUAUGGUAAGGCUUCUCGUACACCACUUUGUUGGACAUAAGUGGGGGAGAGACGAGACUUAGAAUCAGCAAUGGUUCAGAAGACGGUAGAGCAAGUUGAGAGGCUCAAGGCUCGGCUUAAGGAAGUCCAUGAUCGUCAGAAGAGUUAUGCAGAUAAGCGCUAGAAAGAUUUAAAGAUUCAGGUGGGAGACUUAUUAUACCUGAAAAUGAGGACAUUUCAGGGAGGAUCUAGAACUCGGAAGCUAAAGAAGCCUAAGCCGAGUAUAUGGGACUGUACCUCAUUGUGGAGCGGAUUAGAGCAGUGGCUUAUAGAUUGCAGUUAUCAGGUUGUGAGAGUUUCAAGGUGUAAUCCAUAUGACAGUUUGAGGAAGGGUGGGAGAGAGCCAAAGCUCUUUUUGCAGCAGCCGCCAAGUGCUCAUGGUAAAAAAAAAUUGUAUCUAGCAAGCCAGUUAAGAUUAUGGACCGCCAAGUGAACGCGGUUCAGGGAAUAAUGACUAUAUUAGUCAAAGUUUGUUGGGAAAGAGACAGGAUCUUGGAGGUGACCUGAGGGAACCAAGACUCAGAUGAGGAUUGAGUAUCCAGGAAUUUUUUUUUUUUUUUUCAGGUUGAUAUUGGACAGCCGGUUCAUGAUUUAAAUUCGGGGACAAAUUUCUCACAAGUGGGGAAGAAUUGUAAGACCCGGAAUUGUCAACCGAAUUGGUUUGUUUUUCUUUUAAUUAAUUUACAAAAAAAAACCAAUUCAAUUUCCUUUUUGGUUUUACCAAACCGUGUAUGCAACUAUAUAGAUCGUAUACAUCUCCAUCUCCAUAAAACCCAGCCGUAUACAUUCAUGUCUCAAUUAAUCACCUCCUUCCCAUCAUUCUCGCUCAUCACAUGUUUCACUUCUUCUCCAUGUGUGCAUAUUUCUAUCAUAGAAGCCGAGACGGGACGCACCCAUCGCUCACCUCCAAACUUUGAUCCACCGCUUGCACCCGGAUGCCACCACCGGCUCUUCCCGUCGUCUUGGAGCUAUCGCCAUGUCAGAGAGAGAGACAGCCUCGCCAUCAGUGGUCAAACAGACGUGUUGUUGCCUCGCAUCGAACAGAAGAGAUGUAUAUAUGACGUGAGAAGGAGAUGCACAAAGACGGAGCCACCGUCUCACCACCGCGGCACCGAUCAGAUGCACCGUUGUAAGCCUUGAGCUACAGCCUCUUCAUCGACGACCACCGAUCUGCUUUGCCCUGAACCGUUAGCCACCGGAGAGCUACGCCGUGUCACCAAAGAUCUAGACGUUCGAACCGUAGCUAUUUCCGAGAAGGAAGGAAUCAAAGACCUUAUGGGUGAUUUGUUUGCCAAGUCAUUCUCUCUGAAGCCUAGACGUUUGACGAGGCAUAUCAGUUCCCGAGUAUUAUCCGAUGAAUCUCUAAUAUUGGCUAAGGUGAGGGUCUAUUCCGUAAAUCCCGUACCACUGUAGAAUUCUUCAUAUAUUAGUUUAGAUUUCGAAUCAUGAUCUGUUUGUUUGAAUUGAGUCUGUUGAGUCAUGAUUGGUAAUUAGUUCAUUCAUUGUAAACCAGAAUUAAGGGUCUAGAAAAUUCAACCGUUGAUUGGAUUGUGUGAUGUUAAGCGAUGAUAUAUAUAUAUAUACGAGUAUGUAUAGCUAUGAGUAGGGACUAUGUGCGCGGGCGGGGACUCAGAGAUGUCUGGGCUAGCGACGCUACUAUGCUUAUGCGGGCGGGGGUGCAGAGACGUCUGGGCUAGCGACGCUACUGGUGAUGGGCAUGCAGAGACGUUUGUACCAUCGACGCUACUUGAGCGGGCGGGGGUACAGAGACAGACUGUACUAGCGACGCUACGCAUUUAUAUAUCCGUAUGAGGAGAUGCGGGGUGUAUGGACUAGCUUUAUGCUAUCAUCGGAUUGUUUGUGUUUGUGUAUGUGUGAUGCUUUAGGUGUUUUGCUUGUUCAUGUUAGAGCUAAACUUCCAUAGUGGGAGUUCCAUUUACUCAAGUCAGUGGUUUGCGUGUUUAGCAUCCCAUACCUCACGGAGUAACUUCCCUGUUACUCACCCCUCCUUUCGUUCUCCUUUAAGGUGAGACUGACGAGCAUUAGUGACUGCUAUCCGACUGGUGCUUUGGGAGUUUUAUUUCUUUUCUCAGACUUGCGGUUUUUAUGCUUUUAUCGAUAUUUCAGAAUUAUUAUUUAUUAUGUUAUUUGGGAGGUUACGGGUGUUUCAGAUAAAGUCCUCAUUCAUUGGGUGAAUGGUCUCACCUUGCUGGAAACAAAGGCGAAAGGAGAACAAACAAACAAAGACAAGAGUAUAGUUCAUAGAAAAUAAACAUUACUUUAUGCAUUAGCAGCAGAACCUUGGAUACGUUUCCAGAAAGAUCAGUCUGCCCAGAAGCUUUUAGAGCCCUUUUUGUAGUUGUUUUCUUAGAUCAUUCUUUUCUUAUUGGCCUUUUUGCCAUCUUCUUCUUAAUUUAUUUGGUAUAAAAGAUCUGAUACGGCUGGCCAGUAGCCACCAUCGAAAUAUGGGAGCCUAGAUUCCGUAACCAUAGCUCUACAUUCAUAAAUUUGCAUAAAAACGUGGUCAUAUAUUUUUAUAGUUUCUGCAACAGUGCCUUCCUUUGAAGCUUUUUCAUCAUUGCUGAGUGAUUGCAAAGAACGACAUGCACAAUUGGAUCAUUAUAUGAUAAAAUCAUUGCCCUUGAGUGGAGGACAAGCCCAUAUGUAGCAGCUCGUGAAACCACGCAACUUGCAAUAUUCUGGGUAACCGAUUUAAGCAAAGGAGAAAAUCAUACCCUUAAUCCUCCAUAGAAAUUACAAUAAAAAGCAGAUAUUGAUGACCAAAGUUAGAGAAUACCAGAAGUGUAUGGACAUUGUACAGUCAGAAAGAAGUUGUGGUUGCUUCGGGUAAUGUUAAUGGUCGCCGGCAUUACCUGCUCGUCGACGGACAACAUGUCAACCCUAUAAUUCGCUUCCUUUCUUCACAUGACGGGACUCCAAAACCUCAGGCAGCCAUUCCCGGUCGAAAUGCUGGCCAUUGAGCAACGAGAAGGUGAAUUGAAUUAGACCUAGUGGGAGAAGUGGGUCGGUGGUUUUUAAGCUGUGUAAAUUCCUUCGCUUUAGUGUAGCCUACGACGGUUACGCCUCUGCGUCUUCGGAGUGAUUCGCUGAACAUAGAUCGACACUACAUGCGCGACCUCGUGGAGGCAGAGAUAAAGAAGAAGUGUGGAUUUUUUUUUCAUUAAACCAUUUGGGCUUCCAUCACAGAUAUUUGGUGGCCGCCCAACUGUAUGAAGACAUACACAUGUUUUUGAGACUUGGAGAUUUUCCCAAAACACAUAAAAUCUUUUCGAAACUAGAAGUAUGUCCUAACAGCCUAUGUCACGAAAAUAAAUGCAAGAGAUGAUUAAUUAGGAGUUUUCGGGUGUCAAAAAAUAUCCUAUGCAUUUCUGAUGUGGUACAAUGAGAGGGGCUAAAUUCCAUUUUAUUAGUAUAGACUAUGGACGGGCAUAGCCUCCGCGCAAGCGCGGAGCCGGAUACAUUGUUGAUGUGUUGUAUAGUUUUGUGUACGGGAUUUUGUCGUUUGUUUUUUUUUUGAAUUUUUGUUUUUGUAUAUUGUCUAUAAGUGAUAAAAUAAACAUUGGAAGGCACGUAGCUUGAUUAGGUUGAAAUAAGAAUGACCGGCAAAUUCAUAUGUGUUGAUAUUUUCAUAUCUUAAAGUAUUAGCGCUUUCAUGUUCAAAAGCUGAGGUUUAUGGAGUUGGUUAGUGUUUAGUUAGGUAGUUGUUAGUAUAUAAAUUAAAAAAUGUGUAAAGAAAAUGGUAUAAAAUUUUGUUCUUAAAAAAUUAACAAUAACAAUGUAUCCGAACAAUAAAUUAAAAUAUUUUAUAUUUUCCCAAAAUUAAUUUCAGAAAUAUAGAAUUGUAAUAAAAUGUAUGCUUAAACAUUAAUAACUAUAGAAAUUUAUAAAAUUAUAUAGUUACAAAAUCAUUUAUUUUUUUGAAUUCUUACUGAAAUUUGUUAAAAAUAAUUUGGGGUGGACAAAAAAAGUCUGAAAUAGGUGGACCAAAUAUAUAAAUUUUGUUAUAGUUAUGGCCCAAUAUAGUAAUAAAGUAAAACCUGGGUUUUAAAAUAUUUUCCUUCAAAAGAACUCGGCCUUGAAUCUGUAGUUUUGUCUGCUUCUGAGAAAACUCCUAUUUUUUCCGUUGUCUUUCCGUUGUCGGGAAAGUCGACACAAUUUUCUUCCUGUCAGUACUUGAGUUUUUAGUUUGCGAGAUUGAAAAAUGAUAAUUAUUUUACAGCCUUAUUGAUGAUAGAUUUGCUUACACCAGCUCCGUCUUCCUCCGGUGUAGUCGUUGAUCUUCGGCGGUUUCGUCAGCGUCGGAAGUUAGACCUGCAAGAGAGAGGGUUUGAAUAUGUUAAUUUGCUUGGUUGUUUUGUUAUUCGUUUGGUCGGUUAUAUGUGAACUGAAACCAUGGCUUGUGAUUUAUGAUUUGAUAUUUUAUUUGUUAACAUACCGAUUGAUUGUGGCAGGCCAUUGUAGGCCUUAUUGUACACGAUGUUGGCUAUCGUCCUACUCCCAUCCCCAUUUCUUCUCAUGUUUAAAAUCUUGAGGCCCUUGGUUGUAGUGACUCUUGACAGUGCCAUGUAUAGGUGACCAUGGCUGAAGACUAGUUUAGACAAGUAUAGAACAAUGUUUGACAAAGUUUGUCCUUGACUUUUAUUUACCGUCAUUGCAUAACAAACUCGGAUUAGAAACUGGCGUCGUUUCAAGGUGAAUGGGUGGUUGGAUUCUGGUGGUGACAAUAUGAUCCGUGGUAGCAGGAUAGGAUCCGUCUUGGUUGUUGUUGUAAGCAUUUUAGUUUUAAUAACCUGACCGGAGAUAGCUACGCGCGGGAUUUUGUAUAGUUCGACAAAAAAAAAUUGAUAUUUGUUUGUUCUUGUUUUGUUUGGAACAGUGUUUUGAAUGAUUAUUAGUGGGGCUUAUGGUCUGUUUCUUUUUAAGUGGCCCGUUGGAUCGCAUUAUAAGUUUAAUGUUUCGGUCUUUUGUUUGCAGUUGCUUGCUGUUGAAGAAGUCUUUCUUACUUACCUUAUUAUAAGAUUGGGCCUAUUUUAAGUAAAUUGGAGUUGGGGUUUCUUAAUAUAUACGUGGAGUCCAGUGUCGCGGCGUUUAAGUUCAAGUGUGGCAGUACUAUGAAAAGUGAAGUUAGGUGGUUACAUUCUACGGACUGAUGUUUAAUGCUUCAUGUAUUCGGAAUCCAAACAGGCUUUUUGUUGUAACACUUUUUUGUAACACUGGUAUACAAGCAGGUUGGUCCUCCAUUUUAACAGCCUCAUUAUUGUAGUUUCUCAUUUGUGUGAUAAAUGAGGAGAUAUAAGCUUGGUUAUGGCUAGCUUGUUUAAAAUCGUGAUUAUUGCUUUUUGAUAUUUUAAUGCCCCAUCAGAAGUUUUUACUGUUGUACGUUGGGUAUGUGACAGUGUAGAUUUAGUUAAAAUGGGCUUGUAUUUGAGUUUUUGUUAACUAUGGUCAUGGUUUUACAAUGUGGCAUGCAGUUCCGUGUUCUGGUUCAACCGGUCGUCUGGUUCAAUAAGCAGCAUAUAGUGUUCUCUAGAGUGGAGUGAGCUUUUUUUUAGGCUUCUCGUAACAGUAAGUUUAUUUUUAUUUGGGAUCAAAUAAGUUUUGGCUCGCCUGUGUUUUUUUGUCAAAGUAAAAAUCAGUUCAAAAUGGCUAUCAGUUAGUACAGAUUAGUUAUGAUCAUAAGGUUUGUAGCUAUCGACGUAUCAAAGAGAAGACGGCUAAUAGAAGGCUUGUCUCAAUAAUAACCGUCCACACCCACCCUUUCUAAUUUUUGGUGAAGUAGGCCUCUCUGGGUACUUCCAUUUUUUCGCACCAUCAGUGCUUGGAUAAAUAUAAACAUUUCCGUGAAAUGUAAUACACCUAGUAAUAAUAAAUAUAAAAACAAAUGUCAAGUCAAAAAUGUUAAAAAUUGUUAGCCUGUAGAAAAUAUACUAAUAAAUAUAUCUUAUCACCUUACAGGAAAAAAAUAUACUAAUAAAUAUUAAAACAAACCGAAGUAAAUAAUACAACGCUUAAAUUAAUCAUUUAUACAAUCAAACUACUAUAUUGAUGACUACGCGAGAGUAUUAAAUUAUUAAUUGAGCAGAUCAGUCUGCGACGACAAAAGUGGGGGCCCCUUGGUGCGAGAUCGAGCUAAUGUCAAAUGGUAUCACCAGUGGGGAGCAAUGCACUUUGAACUUGGAAUUCGAUCAUACAAUUUUCAUGGAAUAUACCGCAGUUAAAAGUUUUAUCUUAGUAAAAAGGUAAAUAUAAUCAUCAUCACUUUUAAUAUUAGGGCUUUUCUUUUCGUUGACGCGGUCGAUUCGGCGGCUACAAAACAGGAAGGAAAUCUUAUAAUUAACGCCAUCGUUUUUAAGUUUGUGUAGCCGGCUUUAUAAGAACAUCCGCGUUCUCCAACUUUCUUGUCGCCGGAAUUUAUGGCGUCAUGCAAGUCUCCAAUUUUUUAUCGCCGCGUUUUGGAUUUUUUAUUUUAGCAACAGUAAAGAAAAGAUGAAUUUACAGUGUAGUGUAUUUUUUGUGCCGCCGAAGGCUGCGUCCGCGUCAACGAAAAGAAGAGACCUAUUAUAGAAAUAGAAGUCAUUGUUCUCAAAACUGAGGAAUCAUAAUUAUAUAUAUGAAAUCUAUAUUAUAAUAGUUGAGUUUAUGCUCAAUCUAAAAGUGUCCACGUCAACAACUCCUUCAUUAGUGUGGGUCCCACAACUUCUGAGCAUUGAAACGUAAAAUCAAAAAUAUAUUACCAUAGUAGAAAAAUGUACAUACAUUUUCUCUCCA